rnacentral:lncRNA from 1 species
AUUUUAAGGCCGCACCUGCAGCAUAUGAAAGUUUCCAGGCUAGGGGUCGAAUUGGAGCUAUAGCCGCUGGACUAUACCACAGCCACAGAAACACAGGAUCUAAGCUGCAUCUGAGACCUAAGCCACAGCUCACCACAAAGCCAGAUCCUUAACCCACUGAGCGAGUCCAGGGACUGAACCUGCAUCCUCAUCGGUACUGGUCAGUACUUUGUUAUCACCAAGCCACCUGGGAAUUCCCAAACUAUGUAUCUUUUUAGGCUCUACAACAAUUAAAAUUUGCAUUAAAGGGCCAUUCCACUGAAACUUUGAAGGUCGCAGUGAUUAACUGGUUACCAUAUCUAACGAUUUUCACACAAUCCUUUAUUGUCACUAUUAUGACAAUAUUUACAAAGAACUUUUACAUGAAUACAAUUAUAUCAUACUAUAUGGUAUAAUUAGUAUUGUAAUUAUGUGUCUCCCUCAUGUAUUUCCUUAAGCUGGAGUUUAUUAUUUCUUUGUUGUCAAUGUUCCUCCAUUUAUAGUGAUCAAUAAAUGAAUGAGUCAAUGAAUGAACAAAAUACUUCUAGCAACCGCAAGUCUGUUUGACCAAUUGUGUUUGGGGCUCCAUAAUACAGUAGAUAUGGCAUCUUCAGUACAGUAUUAAUAUCUUACAAACUGUGGGAUUUGCAACCUUUUAAAUACAUUUUAUAUAGGAUCUUAACUCUAGCUAUUGAGUGUUUCACAAUGUGUUGCACAAUGAAAGGAUCUAGAUUCAGAUAUCACCACAGUUCUCCAUAGCUUUCUUACUACCCUCAGCAAUAGGGGAGUAGCUGAGAGGCAGUUGGACUCAGACCCCUCAAUGUCUGAUGAUUGUAAUAAGUAAUCAUCACACUGUUUACUGUGUGUUAUAUGCUUACAUUGUGCUAGUUUAAAUAAUGUGAUUAGCUGAUCUCUUUUUCCCAAGAAGCCUGGAGUAAACUGUUACCUAAAUUUUACAGAUUUUAAAACAGAUUCAAAGAAAUUAAAAUCAUGCUUAUGACAUCCAUGUUGUAACUUUGUUGCCUUUCUCACACAAUUUUGAUUCCAAAAAAAAAAAGAAAAGAAUAAGAAAGAUUAAGAUAGGCAUUACAGUUACUACAGUAUUUGCACAGCUUAAGAGAUGAAAUAGAUUGUAUUUACUUUAUUAAUUUAAAUAGACUGUAUUACCAAUGCUGGAAAUAAUUCUAAAAUUUACCUGAUUAAUUGUAAGGGAAAGAAUAAUUAGCAGGAAAAUAUGUGCACAUUUUUUUUUCCUUUUUGAUUGCUCUAGGAAAAUGUUUAAAAUCUUAAUUGGAUGUUAUUCAAGAGCAAUAAAUUUCCUGUCUGCAAAUAUAGACUUCAGCCUACUGAUUUGUCAAGAGUAAACAAUAUGUUUAAUGUAAAUUAAAUUGAUUUCCAUCGAUUAGUUCACAUGUUCUUAAAAAACACCCCUUGAGAACAGACGAAUGCAUUUAAAGCUGGCGGGUUGGGAAUAGAAUGGAAUUUUUAUAAUUAUGGAAUGUAAUCAGGUUAGCCAGGUCCCAAAAAAAAUCCAUGCCCAUGAUCUCAGUCCUGUUAAUAUGUCACCCAAACAAGCUAAAGGGUCAAAGUCAAACUUAAGGUGCAAAUGACUUUAAAAAGUCACAAUUAAUGCUAUUAAUAAUUGUAUUGAUUAUUUAAAAACUCAUAAUCAAAGAUUAUAUGUCAUUCAAAAUAAAAUCUCAUGCUGCAUUCACACACAAGUAUAUCAUCUAAUGAACAUUACCACACACAAGAUAAGACACUGUUUUCACUUAAAACAAUGUCAACUAAACUUGAAACAUUAUUGAUUUAUGAAACAGUGAUCUCUGGAGCUGACCUAGCAUUAGUGGAAAGGGCCAAUAUCAGGGAACUCAAAUUGUUUCCUCCUUCAACCUGGUGAUCUUGUGGUUAUUGAUCCAUGCUUGCUUUAGUCUUUCCCUGUCUCUAUGCUUACACUUUCACAUAGCAACAAAAAAACCACACAUACACACACCACAUAAUACAUAUCUUUAUUGUGUAUUUUGUCCUGGACUGUGAAGAUAUGCAUCUUAGUGGAUAACAGUAAUUUUUUUCAUCUCUAUUUUCUUCUUAACCUUUCCCCUAUUCAAGUCACCUCUAUGGUUCAUUGUCUCUGGGGACAUAUAAGGCUGGCCACAAAUCAGCAUGUCCUGUAAGUCCAGCUGGCUUUUGUUUUACAAAAGCCGAAGUCUUUUGAAGAAGAAGCAAAGGGAAGGGGACAGGCUGAAAUGGAGAAGAGGUUCCCUCCAUUUCAAAAGUGAUUUGCCCAGGGAUCCAGGCAAAGAGAGAAGUCUAUAACAGAGCAAAGAGAACUUAGCCACAUUGGAGAGAGAUGACAUCUCAAAGAGAGAUGGAUGAACAAGGGAGGAAGAACCAAGGUCCAAAACUAUGACCCAUGUAUCAUAAAGGAACACAGGGCCACUGAAUUUCAAGAGACCACUUAGGCUUGUCAGUGAGAAUACCAAUGACACAACACUUGACUUAAGUUUAAUUUCUUCAUUUUAGGUAUAGGUCCCCCGGAGUGUGGUAUGCUUCUGACCUAUGGAGGGGACCUUAACGAUGAAUGAGAGGGAAUUUUGACCAAGACCAGUAGGAUGGAGCUACAGCAAAUAUUUUUAAUCUUUCCGUUUUAAAAAGUAACAAUAAAGUUUGACAGAGACUCUUUGGGUAAAUUAAGAAUCACCUUUCGGUUAGAUGCAGAACAGUCUUGAUUAGAAUACUGUAAAAAGGCAUCAAGCAGUUUUCUUUGGCUAUUACUGAGUUCUUCUACUUGACAUACUUUUUGCAUGAAGUGAAAUGUGGCCCAUCCUUGGCAGAGUAGAUAAUAGCACCUGGAUGCUAGCCAGUUCAGCAAGGAUGUUCAGAGAGGAGAGCAUGUCAGCAUUCACUGUGAGACUUACCCAGCUGCCUCUGUCAAUGCCUUCUUAUCUGUCUUCCUCACUCCUCCCUGAGCUGUCCGCACUGAACCUGGCACUCAAUGAACUGGUCCACCAUGACAUAAAAAGCUCGGCUAGAAAAUCCUGUCUCUUAGUUCCUGUGAUCACUGGUUUGAGGUUAUAAUGAGCUUUCAGUCCUAUGGAAAACACUAGAAUGUGGACUUACAGCUGUUCCUUCCACAGGUCAGGGUAUCCAAGGUCUACGUCCUAAAUGUGAAAGAAAAGGCAUUCCAAAUGCAAACCACACCUUUUAAUCAACCUUGCAAAUUG